rnacentral:rRNA from 1 species
AUGUGACGGUUCCUGGUAGCAGGUGUAGCGGUGAAAUGCGUAGAGAUCUGGAGGAAUACCGGUGGCGAAGGCGGCCCCCUGGACGAAGACUGACGCUCAGGUGCGAAAGCGUGGGGAGCAAUGGAACUGAGACACGGUCC